UACAGAGGGUGCAAGCGUUGUUCGGAAUUAUUGGGCGUAAAGGGCGCGUAGGCGGUGCGGUAAGUCUGUAGUGAAAUCUCUGGGCUCAACUCAGAGUCUGCUGCAGAAACUGCCGUGCUUGAGUGUGGGAGAGGUGAGUGGAAUUUACGGUGUAGCGGUGAAAUGCGUAGAUAUCGAGAGGAACACCGGUGGCGAAGGCGGCGAUCUGGACGAUGACUGACGCUGAGACGCGAAAGCGUGGGGAGCAAACGGG
rnacentral:rRNA from 1 species